UACGUAGGCAGCAAGCGUUGUUCGGAAUUACUGGGCGUAAAGCGUGCGUAGGCGGUGCCUCAAGUUUGGUGUGAAAUCUCCCGGCUCAACUGGGAGGGUGCGCCGAAAACUGAGGUGCUCGAGUGUGGGAGAGGUAGGCGGAAUUCCUGGUGUAGCGGUGAAAUGCGUAGAUAUCAGGAGGAACACCGGCGGUGUAGACGGCUUACUGGACCAUUACUGACGCUGAGGCACGAAAGUGUGGUGAGCAAACGGG
rnacentral:rRNA from 1 species